rnacentral:tRNA from 1 species
GCCCCAUUGGCGAAAUUGGCAGACGCGCUAGAUUUAGGAUCUAGUGUCCUUUAGGGCGUGAGGGUUCGAGUCCCUUGUGGGGUAC